UCGAGAAUCUUCCGCAAUGGGCGAAAGCCUGACGGAGCGACACCGCGUGUAGGAUGAAGGCCCUCGGGUUGUAAACUACUGUCACGCUAUAGGAAUUCCCUGUCGUUAAUAGCUGCAGGGUUGACCAAAGCGAGAGGAAGCACCGGCUAACUCCGUGCCAGCAGCCGCGGUAAGACGGAGGGUGCAAACGUUGUUCGGAAUCACUGGGCAUAAAGCGCACGUAGGCGGCCUGGUCAGUCUGUUGUGAAAGCCCUCGGCUCAACCGGGGAACUGCAAUGGAUACUGCCGGGCUUGAGGACGGUUGGGGUGAGUGGAACUCCUGGUGGAGCGGUGAAAUGCGUAGAUAUCAGGAGGAACACCAGUGGCGAAAGCGGCUCACUGGACCGUAUCUGACGCUGAGGUGCGAAAGCUAGGGUAGCGAACGGGAUUAGAUACCCCCGUAGUCC
rnacentral:rRNA from 1 species